rnacentral:rRNA from 1 species
AACGAACGCUGGCGGCAGGCUUAACACAUGCAAGUCGAGCGCCCCGCAAGGGGAGCGGCAGACGGGUGAGUAACACGUGGGAACCUUCCUAGAGGUACGGAACAACGCAGGGAAACUUGCGCUAAUACCGUAUGUGCUCUUGCGAGGAAAGAUUUAUCGCCUUUAGACGGGCCCGCGUCGGAUUAGCUAGUUGGUGGGGUAAUGGCCUACCAAGGCAACGAUCCGUAGCUGAUCUGAGAGGAUGAUCAGCCACACUGGAACUGAGACACG